rnacentral:rRNA from 1 species
GACGAACGCUGGCGGCGUGCUUAACACAUGCAAGUCGAGCGGAUCGGCGCACGGGUGAGUAACGCGUGAGUAACUGCCCCCCUCUCUGGGAUACCAGUUGGAAACGGCUGCUAAUACCGGAUAGUGGGGGAUGACUCGCGUCCAAUCAGCUUGUUGGUGCGGUAGUGGUCUACCAAGGCGACGGCGGGUAGCCGGCCUGGGAGGGCGACCGGCCACCAUGGGCUAAGAGACGGCGCAAACGCCUACGGGAGGCAACGAUGGGGAAUAUGGCACAAUGGGGGAAACCGUGAGGCAGCAACGCCGCGUGCGGGAUGACGGCCUUCGGGUUGUAAACCGCUUUCAGCCAUGACGCGGUAGUGACAGAAGAAGCACCGGCUAACUACGUGCCAGCCGCCGCGGUAAUAC